GGCCCCGUAGCUCAACUGGAUAGAGCGUCGGCCUUCUAAGCCGAUGGUUGCGUGUUCGAGUCACGCCGGGGUCG
rnacentral:tRNA from 1 species